rnacentral:rRNA from 1 species
CCUACGGGAGGCAGCAGUAAGGAAUAUUGGUCAAUGGACGCAAGUCUGAACCAGCCAUGCCGCGUGAAGGAUUAAGGUCCUCUGGAUUGUAAACUUACUUUUAUUCUGGGACGAAAAAAGGACGAUUCUUCGUCACUUGACGGUACCAGAUGAAUAAGCACCGGCUAACUCCGUGCCAGCAGCCGCGGUAAUACGGAGGGUGCAAGCGUUAUCCGGAUUCACUGGGUUUAAAGGGUGCGUAGGCGGGCAGGUAAGUCAGUGGUGAAAUCCUAGAGCUUAACUCUAGAACUGCCAUUGAUACUAUCUGUCUUGAAUAUUGUGGAGGUAAGCGGAAUAUGUCAUGUAGCGGUGAAAUGCUUAGAUAUGACAUAGAACACCUAUUGCGAAGGCAGCUUACUACGCAUAUAUUGACGCUGAGGCACGAAAGCGUGGGGAUCAAACAGGAUUAGAUACCCUGGUAGUCCACGCCCUAAACGAUGAUUACUCGACAUUUGUGAUACACUAUAAGUAGUGUGAGAGAAGACGAUAAGUAAGUACUACCGUUACGGUUAGGUACGACCGACGACGUUAGGUUAACGUUACGAAGGAAGUUAGUUAGGACGNGAGAGNGCGACGGACGACGACGAGGGAGGAGGAG